rnacentral:rRNA from 1 species
AGAUUGAACGCUGGCGGCAGGCCUAACACAUGCAAGUCGAGCGGUAGAGAGGUGCUUGCACCUCUUGAGAGCGGCGGACGGGUGAGUAAUGCCUAGGAAUCUGCCUAGUGGUGGGGGAUAACGUUCGGAAACGGACGCUAAUACCGCAUACGUCCUACGGGAGAAAGCGGGGGACCUUCGGGCCUCGCGCCAUUAGAUGAGCCUAGGUCGGAUUAGCUAGGUUGGUGAGGUAAUGGCUCACCAAGGCGACGAUCCGUAACUGGUCUGAGAGGAUGAUCAGUCACACUGGAACUGAGACACGGUCCAGACUCCGUACGGGAGCAGCAGGUGGGAAUAGUGGACUAAGUGGGACGAAAGCCUGACUCCAGCCAUCGCCGUCGUGUCGUAGAAGUAAGGUCUUACGGAUUAG